rnacentral:rRNA from 1 species
GUCGACGGGAGAAUGCUAGCUUGCUAAUAAUUCUCUAGUGGCGCACGGGUGAGUAACACGUGAGUAACCUGCCCCCAAGAGUGGGAUAGCCCCGGGAAACUGGGAUUAAUACCGCAUAAAAUCGCAAGAUUAAAGCAGCAAUGCGCUUAGGGAUGGGCUCGCGUCCUAUUAGUUAGUUGGUGAGGUAACGGCUCACCAAGGCGAUGACGGGUAGCCGGUCUGAGAGGAUGUCCGGCCACACUGGAACUGAGACACGGUCCAGACACCUACGGGUGGCAGCAGUCGAGAAUCAUUCACAAUGGGGGAAACCCUGAUGGUGCGACGCCGCGUGGGGGAAUGAAGGUCUUCGGAUUGUAAACCCCUGUCAUGUGGGAGCAAAUUAAAAAGAUAGUACCACAAGAGGAAGAGACGGCUAACUCUGUGCCAGCAGCCGCGGUAAUACAGAGGUCUCAAGCGUUGUUCGGAAUCACUGGGCGUAAAGCGUGCGUAGGCGGUUUCGUAAGUCGUGUGUGAAAGGCGGGGGCUCAACCCCCGGACUGCACAUGAUACUGCGAGACUAGAGUAAUGGAGGGGGAACCGGAAUUCUCGGUGUAGCAGUGAAAUGCGUAGAUAUCGAGAGGAACACUCGUGGCGAAGGCGGGUUCCUGGACAUUAACUGAC